rnacentral:rRNA from 1 species
CACGCAGGUGGUUGUCUAAGACGGACGUGAAAGCUCCUGGCUUAACUGGGAGAGGUCGUUGGUGACUGGAUGACUUGAGGCGAGGAGAGGGGUGUAGAAUUCCCGGUGUAGUGGUGGAAUGCGUAGAGAUCGGGAGGAAUACCAGUGGCGAAAGCGACACCCUGGCCUUGCCUGACGCUCAGGUGCGAAAGCGUGGGGAGCAACG